CCUAACCCUCAUAACAGGACAGAUACCAGCAGGAGAAGGCUGUCAAACCCUCUGAGAGAUGGGGGCGAGGGAAGGACAUGUUUCCAUAAAAAGUUACUGAACCUGCUGAAAGUCCUUUAAGAUGGCCUCAAUGAAACUGUUCCACCCUUCAGGAGCAAAUGAGAAACAGCAUGUGAAGUGGACGUGCCAAGUGACAAGGAGAGAGGAAAAAGGAAACAUAUGGAGGGAGCAUGAAUAUGAUUUUACAAGAGGGAACAUUUGCUCAGAGCAAGUUUUGUGAGUACAGAAAGAUCAAUAGAAUUCUGCUCAUGGAUGCCUAGAACAUUCCCUGAGAUUUUGGAAUCGAUCCGCUGUGGUGUUCAAAAGUUAUCCUGUUACGUGCAUACAGACAGACAGAGAAACGCUGGCAAGUUGAGUGUAAG